rnacentral:rRNA from 1 species
CCUACGGGAGGCUGCAGUAGGGAAUCUUCCACAAUGGGCGAAAGCCUGAUGGAGCAACGCCGCGUGGGUGAAGAAGGUCUUCGGAUCGUAAAACCCUGUUGUUAGAGAAGAAAGUGCGUGAGAGUAACUGUUCACGUUUCGACGGUAUCUAACCAGAAAGCCACGGCUAACUACGUGCCAGCAGCCGCGGUAAUACGUAGGUGGCAAGCGUUAUCCGGAUUUAUUGGGCGUAAAGGGAGCGCAGGCGGUCUUUUAAGUCUGAUGUGAAAGCCUUCGGCUUAACCGGAGUAGUGCAUUGGAAACUGGGAGACGUGAGUGCAGAAGAGGAGAGUGGAACUCCAUGUGUAGCGGUGAAAUGCGUAGAUAUAUGGAAGAACACCAGUGGCGAACGCGGCUCUCUGGUCUGUAACUGACGCUGAGGUUCGAAAGCGUGGGUAGCAAACAGGAUUAGAUACCCCUGUAGUC